rnacentral:rRNA from 1 species
CCCUUAGAUGUCCUGGGCUGCACGCGCGCUACACUGAUGUGUCCAGUAAGCCCCUAACCUCUUCCGAAAGGAACGGGUAACCUUUGCAAAGCACAUCGUGAUGGGGAUAGAUUAUUGCAAUUAUUAGUCUUGAACGAGGAAUUCCUAGUAAGCACAAGUCAUCAGCUUGUGUUGAUUACGUCCCUGCCCUUUGUACACACCGCCCGUCGCUCCUACCGAUUGAAUGUUCCGGUGAGCUCUUCGGACUGCGCGGUCUGCAGUUUCUGCGUUCCGUGCGGAAAGUUGCGCAAACCUUAACAUUUAGAGGAAGGAGAAGUCGUAACA